AUAGAAGGGACAUAAAAGUUAAACAGUUUUUUUUUUAUUAUUAUUUAAACAAGUUAUAAAACAUUUUUAUUUAUGAAUUUUUAGAGAGGAGAAAAAUUACUAUUGUAAUAUAUGUCUUUUUUUUAAUGAAUUUUAAUUCAUUUUGAGAGUAUAAAAAGUGUUGAAUUUUUAUCAUUGAGAAUCGAUCUUGUCAUUUUAUAAAAUUUUUGGCGACGGAUAAAAAAAUUAAAUUCAUUCAUACAAUUGGAAUAAUUAUUCAAUUUAUCCGCAAUCAUGUCAAAAUAUAUGAGAAUUGUUUUAAUUUAUCUUCUUAGCCUCGUAGCUUUAUUAUUCGCUAUUAAAAGCGACGAGGACAAGGUUUAUAAAUCUCGCUAUAAUUUCGGACUUGGAAAGUAAAAUCAAAAAAACAUAUUUAUUGAAUCAACAAAUUGUUUGCAAAGAGGCUAUUAAUCUACUUAAUUAAAAAAAAAAAUUACUUAAGCAAUUUAAUGUGAGACAAUGAUCAAAUUGUUUGUACAGAGUUUAAAAGAAAUAAUUUUUUUCAAUUGAGUAAUCAAAAUUUCUAUUGAUAAAAAUUUUCUUUUUACAUCUGUAUUGAAAAAUUUCAAUUUAAAACCUAAAAUUUAAUAAUUUUUAAAUUUUUCUUCAACUUUCUGUAAUUUAAU